rnacentral:lncRNA from 1 species
CCGCAGCCUCCGCCUCCAGGGUUCAAGCGAUUCUCUUGCCUCAGCCUCCCGAAUAGCUGGGAUUACAGGCAAAAGCCACCACGCCCGGCUAAUUUUGUGUUUUUAGGAGAGACGGGGUUUCUCCAUGUUGGUCAGGCUGGUCUCGAACUCCCGACCUCAGAUGAUCUGCUCGCCUAGGCCUCCCAAAGUGCUGGGAUUACAGGCGUGAACCACCGCGCCCAGCCCUGCACUUUCUUUUCUGAAUAGCUCGGUAACAUCAUGAGACAGGGAGGCAGGGAGACACCGGUUGUGAAGAGACUCUAGAAAUAAGAUUGAUGGGAAAAGUCGAGAUGCACAAUUAGGAAAAAGCAAAUUUAACUCAACAAGUUUCCUGACCAGAAGUUCUCCUUUGAGCUGGGAGCAAUGUCUCUUGCCUGUAAUCCCAGAACUUUGGGAGGCCAAGGCGAGAGGAUUUCUUGAGCCCAGGAGUUCGAGACCAGCCUGGGCAACAUAGCCAGACCCGGUCUCCAGGAACAAAAGAAAAAAAAAAUCAGUAUCUCCUUGGGAGAAGCAACAGGCAUUGAACACUCAAGCCACCAAAUCCAAGGUAUGGUUGGCUACCCCAGCCAAAGAGCAAUCCCAAAGCAGGAAUUCAACAGUUAAAAACUGGGAGCAAAAAGACUUAGUGGAUUUUCCUUAUCGAUCCUUCUCAUUGUUUUUAAGUCAUUUUAGGAGAUCUUUUGGCGUCACUCUCAGCUUUCUGGGAGGACACACUAUUAUCACAAACCAAGCUUACCCCGGGCUCAGGAAUGGAGCUGAAAGUGCACUUGUUUUAAGAAAACUUGAAAAGAUUUGCAGACUUUUAUAAGACAAGACAGUA